rnacentral:tRNA from 1 species
UGGUAGCUCAGUUGGUAGAGCACUCGGCUUUUAACCGACUGGUCCUGGGUUCGAGUCCCAG